AGAUGGCGACCGGCGCACGGGUGAGUAACACGUAUCCAACCUGCCGAUAACUCGGGGAUAGCCUUUCGAAAGAAAGAUUAAUACCCGAUGGCAUAAUAGAACCGCAUGGUUUGAUUAUUAAAGAAUUUCGGUUAUCGAUGGGGAUGCGUUCCAUUAGGCAGUUGGUGGGGUAACGGCCCACCAAACCUUCGAUGGAUAGGGGUUCUGAGAGGAAGGCCCCCCACAUUGGAACUGAGACACGGUCCAA
rnacentral:rRNA from 1 species